rnacentral:tRNA from 1 species
GCCCGUGUGGUCUAGUGGUAUGAUUCGCGCUUUGGGUGUGCGAGGUCCCCGGUUCAAACCCGGGCGCGGGCC